rnacentral:rRNA from 1 species
AGAGCGGGAGCCCGGAGAUGGGCACUGAGACAAGGGCCCAGGCCCUACGGGGCGCAGCAGUCGCGAAAACUCCACAAUGCACGAAAGUGCGAUGGGGCUACCCCGAGUGCCGUCCGCUGAGGACGGCUUUUCCAUGGUGUAAGGAGCCGUGGGAAUAAGGAGAGGGCAAGCCUGGUGUCAGCCGCCGCGGUAAUACCAGCUCUCCGAGUGGUGAGGACGAUUAUUGGGCUUAAAGCGUUCGUAGCCGGCUUAACAAGUCUUCCGUUAAAUCCAACGAUCUAAUCGUUGGGCCGCGGAAGAUACUGUUGGGCUAGGAGGCGGGAGAAGCCGACGGUAUUCUCGGGGUAGGGGUGAAAUCCUGUAAUCCCGGGAGGACCACCAGUGGCGAAGGCGGUCGGCU